UAUUGAAUGCUUCUAUUGUACUUUAUAAAUAGUGGUCAGAGCGGCAGGCCGUGUCGUCAAUGCUCUUAAUAAAUUAAAAAACAGUUACGACAGUGACUCACUUAGUCUCAGUAACGUAAAUCGCAAAACGUUAAGUGGGUACUUUAGCAACAAAUUAAUUGAUUUUGUGAUAUUAUUGCAGGACAAUAGGAAACGUUAUACAAUAUGACAGAGCAAAGCAAUACGAACAGACCAUUACCCGGGGGUCAAUCCGAAAGAGACCCAAGUGACCCAAAGUACCUACAAUUGGCGCAAGAGUCUUUUACCAAAUAUUGUGAGACGAACCCAGGCGGACCAAUUGAUGUUAAAGAAAUCAAAGUCACCAAAGUAACUCACCAGGUAGUCGCUGGUUCCAUGACACGGAUUACAUUCACCGUGGAACCCACCAACGGUGAAAUAUUUACAAUCUAUGCUAAAAUUUGGGAGCAGCCGUGGCUUAAUAAGAAGGAAAUUGAAGUGAAAUGUGAACCGGACGACUAGUGAUCUGGAAAGUGCAAAUUGUACUAUGGCCAUUAUAAAUUAAGGAUUGUCAAUAUUUGUUUCAUAUUUUUGUUCUGGAAUUUAUUUUUGAAGUUUAUUGUAUUCUUAAAAAUGUAAUAAAAGAAAGUUACUUAUA